UAGCUCAGUCGGUUGAGCAUGGUGCUGAUAACACCAAGGUCGCAGGUUCGAUCCCUGU
rnacentral:tRNA from 1 species